GAAAUGCGAUAAGUAGUGUGAAUUGCAGAAUUCAGUGAAUCAUCGAAUCUUUGAACGCACAUUGCGCCCUUUGGUAUUCCUUAGGGCAUGCCUGUUCGAGCGUCAUUUAACACCUUCAAGCUCCGCUUGGUGUUGGGCGUCUGUCUGCUCACGCGGACUCGCCUCAAAAUCAUUGGCGGCCGGUACAUUGGCUUCGAGCGCAGCAGAAACGCGAACUCGAGGACGGUGGAUCAGCUCCCAGAAGCAAACCCCCCAAUUUUGACCUCGGAUCAGGUAGGGAUACCCGCUGAACUUAA
rnacentral:misc_RNA from 1 species